rnacentral:rRNA from 1 species
GACGAACGCUGGCGGCGUGCUUAACACAUGCAAGUCGAACGGAAAGGCCCUGCUUUUGUGGGGUGCUCGAGUGGCGAACGGGUGAGUAACACGUGAGUAACCUGCCCUUGACUUUGGGAUAACUUCAGGAAACUGGGGCUAAUACCGGAUAGGAGCUCCUGCUGCAUGGUGGUGGUUGGAAAGUUUCGGCGGUUGGGGAUGGACUCGCGGCUUAUCAGCUUGUGGGUGGGGGAGUGGCUUACCAAGGCUUUGACGGGUAGCCGGACUGAGAGGGUGACCGGCCACAUUGGGACUGAGAUACGGCCCAGACUGCUACGGGAGGCAGCAGUGGGGAAUAUUGCACAAUGGGCGGAAGCCUGAUGCAGCAACGCCGCGUGCGGGAUGACGGCCUUCGGGUUGUAAACCGCUUUCGCCUGUGACGAAGCGUGAGUGACGGUAAUGGGUAAAGAAGCACCGGCUAACUACGUG